rfam:Clostridium argentinense CDC 2741 T732.Contig251, whole genome shotgun sequence.
AAUCCUUUUAAGUUUGAUCCUGUGAGAUCAGAAAGGGAAGAUAGUAGUGUUAUGUAGGUAUAUAGGUGUAGCUAUAAUUAUAGCUGUAGCUAUAUGUUUAUAGUAAAGAAAAAUGCUUUCCUUUCAGGAAAGCAUUUUUUAUUU